UCAAAAGUUUAAAACUGCAUCACUAACAUGAUGGCUAAGGCUAACUUAGAUCUAACUUUAAGCUAAUGUUUACUAGUUAACUAUUUUUUUAAUUAUUAAUUAUUAGUUUAGAAAUGAUCUUUCACAUACCUGUAAAGUGCUAUCUUGGAUUCCGAUCGAUUCACGCAGUUGAUAGCAACACAACCAGUCAUUUUCGCAUUGAAUGAUCGAUGACUAUCUUCUCAAGUGAGUUUGGUGGAAAGGCCGAAAUGUUUGCAUGAUCAUCUAUUUAUAGAGAACGGAUCCAUCCACCACUCUCACUGCUAGUUUCAUAUGCGCAUCGUCGGCUCAUCGAAAUCGAAAAGCUAUUGCAAAUCAAAUGGAAAAGACAAGGGCUGGACAACCCCUAUUAAAAGGCCGGAAGUGUGGAUUAUCGGGGACAGCUACGUCCGCCGUGGAGAGGAGAGAGCCAGGGAAACCUGUGGCCCCCACCUUGGCCUAGAGGCCUCAUCCCUUUCUUCCUGCAGUCCCUGAGAGGAAGAACAGCCCCGGAUGUCCUGCUCAUCCACUGUGGCGGCAACGACCUCGGACGCCUGGAGGGAGUUGAGGUUGUUGCCGCAAUGAAGCAGGACCUGCAGUACCUCCACCGGCAGUUCCCAGCAAUGCAGAUCGUCUACUCUAACAUCAACGAGGAAGCUAAACCACCCUAGGAAAUGGGUGAACAGUGUGAUGAACGCAUUUGUUAGUGUAGAGCUAGGACGCAACAGCGUAGAGCAUCAUGGAAUAAGGUUUAACUGCUAUGGUUUAUACUUAAAAGACAAGGUUCAUUUCACCAAUAGGGGAAAUUACAUUUUUUUAAAAAGCAUUUCACAGUCUCUUAAAGCGAUAAUCCAGAGUGGGUGAGACUGACACUUUUAGGGCCAAUGCCUUCAGCCUUCUCCACUCUGAAUUGUAAUUUCAACAGUUUUCAAUACUGUAAAAUAUAAUCCAGGUCCUCAAUCUUUAUUCGAUGAUGCUCUUCUCUGCGUAUUUGAUAAAUCAGUAAUUAUAACCUUUUUGGUAAUCAUUUGUGUUUAUCACACUGUUCAUUCAUUUCACUGUUCUUCCUCUCAUUCCUUUCCUUACUUCUUCUUAACCUGUCUUUGUUUCCCCUUCCACUCUUCUGCCCCAGCCAAACAGCCAAAAAAAAGAAAAAAAAAGUGUUUUGUUAAAAUAUCGGG